CCGAGUGCAAAAUACGAACUGAGGAUAAAAUGUAGAACGAAGACUGCAAACCAGGGUUAAAGUGUAGACUCGAUUCUAAAACAACUCGCUUUCCCGGAAAAACUUCAAGAGUGAGCUGGGAUCGAGGCCGCGUAAGUCGUGAGAGGCUGGCGAUAGAUGUUUUGAACUAUACUUCCUCAGAUGGUUUUGGCGUUGACAUACUGUUUUUAAGCUCAAAUUUCAAGAAUAGCUACAAUCAGUCCAUAGUGUUCAUGGUGUAGCAUAGACCUGUGCUGAUUUUUCUGAUCUCAGGGUAUGCUGCUAACCAGGGAUAACAAACAGUAUGGUGUUGUGGGUGAAGUUUCAGGGUCUAUGCAAGCAGUUUCAAGAUUUUUAAUCUCUUUCUGAUACUUAAUACCUCCCAGUCUUACUAGAGCGUUCCGGAUGUCAGACCAGUAUUGGUUGAAUUCCGCUUCAUCAACUGAAGCGCGCUCGGCAUAAGCGUACACAGUGUUUCUGUAAUAUUUCACACGAGCAAUGUCUGCUGCAGUGCUCUCAUCUGACUUGGGAGGAAGGUUGUUCCAUCCUUUCGAGGGUUCAGAUAAGUCGCAGAUAUUUCGAAAUAAAGUAGUUAAAAGUGUGAUGUCAAAUCCUGCUGAUGACACUUGAGUAGGGUCAGAAGGAAAAAGCUUGUCCAUCUGAGCCGGAUAGAGAAUCCUUCGAUCCCUCAGCUUCUCUAACUCUGCCUUGUUUUCCGCCAAAACUGCGUGAAGUUUUGCUGGGGGAUGGAUUUCAUCGAAUUUAUCUCGGAGGGCCUGGGUUCCAAUAUCAACCAGCAGACGACACAAGCGGGCAUAGUUCGUUCUUCCCUUAGUGGAUGAAGUCGGUGGUGUUGCGCAAGCCAUGAGGAAAAUUUGCUAUAAGUAAAACAAAGCCAGAUUUAUAAAUAAAAUGUAGAUGAAUAGCAUCAGUAGCUAUGGAUAGAAAAUCAGGGUGUUUGA